AAAGUUAUUAUAAUUAAAAAGCUUAUAGCAGAACUUUAGAUCUAACUAGCUAGUUUACCUCAUUAUAUAUACUAAUCUAACUAAGCCUUUCUCUCUAUAGAACUAUAUAUUUUUUACUAGGUAUCUAAGAGAAAUAGGACUUUUACUUUAAAAGAACUUAGAAUACUUUGAAUAGAUCUGUAUUCAAAUGUAUUAAUAUAGAAUAAUAAAAUAAAAUAUAUAGUUCUAUUUUAUUAAUUUCUAGGACUACUAUAAUAAUUAAUAAGGAUAGUUAGAAGUAUUAGUAUUUAAUUAUUAGAAGUAAAAGUCUUAGAUUUAUUAAAACUUAAUUACUAUAAAAGUAUUUAUUAAAGAUAUUUUUAUUUAUUAGGAAUAAAAGUUAGGAAAUUGAAGAUAAUUAGAUAUUAUUAUAAUCUUAACUAUAAAUUAUACUAAUUAGAAAUUAGAUAAUAUUAUUUUUAACUUAUUCAAUAUCUUAUAAGAAAUCAAAAUAUUUAGGUUCUA
rnacentral:ncRNA from 1 species